rnacentral:lncRNA from 1 species
UUCGUCGAUAGAAAGUUUUUCGAAUUAGUAAAUUUGGAUAAUUUCGUCAUUACGAAGUUUAAGGCGUCAUAUAAUUCAAAAAUUAGGGCGUCAAAUAAUAUUCCUCAAUGGACGAAUCAUCCCCGCCAAUAAAAUGCAUUAAAAUUCAAAUCGUACUAUUUAAUACGGAUUCUGAUUCUUCCAGAGGUUCGCCACUUCAUCCAACGACUUGGUGGACGACCCAUCGUUUCCGGUUGCAUUGUUAGCAGCAACUUUCAAUUCCCUCAUUUUCUUUCUAAGCAACUUCGCUUCAUCCCCAUCCAACACAGCCUUCACAUAUCGAGCAAUUUCCUCUCUCCCAACUAUCCCAUCUUCACCACUACUUUGAUCUACCCUCAAAGCAACUUUGGCAUCCUCUACCAACAACGCUGCAUUCAUCUUCUGAUCUGCGUGCUGAGGCCAGGCAAGAACCGGCACCCCAUUGGUUAUGCUCUCCAAACUCGAGUUCCACCCGCAAUGGCUCAUGAACCCACCGGUUGAACCGUGGCUUAGGAUUCGAAUCUGAGGUACCCAGUCGGGAAUCACUAAACCAACCCCUUUGGUCUUUUUCAAAAAGCCCUCGGGUAAGAAACUCGAGUUCCAGGGAACGACAUCAUUACCUGGUGGUUUAACCACCCAAAUGAAUCUCUUCCCACUCAUUGCCAGACCAUGGGCUAAUUCGUCAAACUGGGCCUUAGACUGUCUCGCGCCAAUCCCGCUUCCAAAUGAAAUGAGGAGUACAGAGGAUUCUGGCUGCUUAUCCAACCAUUCCAAACAGUCAAUUGAUUCGUUGCUAAACUGGUUUAAAUCCUCAUCAGAAUCGAGCCGCUUUAGUGGGCCAAUGGGGUAAACCGUAGGCCCGGAUCCGGUUCGAAAGCGUUCCUCAGUCAAAGCUUUGAAAAUAUCACUCUCCAAGUCCACAAAGCUAUUGAUUAUGAUUCCUACGGCAUCAGAGGAGAUGCGUUCGUGGGAGUGGACCAUCCACUUGUAAGCGUCUUUCUUCUUGUCGAUAUACGGUUCAGGAAGAUCCGCACCCAAAAGCGGGAUACAACCGGGCAGCUUUAGCAGUUUGGUCGAGUCUUCCUGGUGGGUCGGGUGGAGGAGUUGAGGGGCAUUCAAGCCUAGAGUCAAGUGGAAGGCGCUACACGUGUAGAAGACAUAGGGAGGGAUUUGAAGCUGGGUGGCCACCUGGAGGGCGUCUGCGCCUAGGAAAUCGACGACAACGGCUACCACUCGGCCGCAUAGGCCUUCGCCUGAGUGUUGGAGGUUAAUUAUGGCGUCGCGGAUGGCCGGAAGAGAGCGAAUCACGGUAAGGGGGACGCGGGUGAUGGAGUCAGCAUCGGAGGGGAGGUCGGACAAGCUAACCGGAGGAAGGUAAAGAGGGGAAAUGGUGGGUGGGAGGUUGAGGGAUUGGAGGAAUUGGCGUUGGGGUAUCAUGUCGGAGCCAUUGUCAGGAAUAAGAAUGGUGAUGGCGAAAUUGUGGCGGAGGAGGAGGCGUUUGGAUAGUUCGACAAAGGGAAUUAGGUGGCCGCGGCCUGGGGAAGGCACCAUCACCACCCGGAGAUUUGCUUUUCGUGAGAUGGUACUGACCACAUCUUCCAUUUUUUUUUUGUGUAUCGGUUGAAAUUGGUUUUUUACUUGGUUUCUAUACUUGUUGAAUGCUUGGAGUAUUUGAUGGCAUUUUAUAGAAGAGGAGAAAAUGGUGAAAUGGAGGAGGAGGUGGUUGUUGUUGCAAACUUGCAACUGCGCAACCUAUCCCAAUAAAUGCUCUGGCUCUGUGACAUAAUGAUAAAAGAUGGGGUUGUUAAUUUGGUCCGUGGAUACAAAUAUGAGUUACUUCAACAAAUAGUGUAGCCAACAAUACAUGAGCAACUAUAUUUUUACAACGCUUGAUUAUUGAACCAAGCUUUGUCACCUCCACUUCCACUCCAUGCAACACCGACGUCGCAACGUGGGCAUCAACCUCAAAGGUGAUAACAAAUAUAAAGUCUAACACGAAGGUCAAAAUAUUUAAUGGUCACUUAAAUUUCACAUUUAAACCUAUCAGUCAUUAAACUUUAUCUUUAUUUAAUUUUAAGGAAGAAUGAGGUGACUCUGUAGUCCGUAUCCGUCGAACCAACUUCAGGUUCAUUAAAAUUCAAAUCGUACUACGAAUUCUGAUUCAUCCAGAAGUUCACCACUUCAUCCAACGACUUGGUGGACGACACAUCGUUUCGAGUUGCAUUGUUAGCAGCAGCUUUCAGCUCCUUCGUUUUCCUUCCGGAACUGUGCUCCAAGAUCGAUCAUUCAUUCAGGAACCGUCCACGAGCAAAAGGAACAUAAUCAGUAUAUAAUUAAAAGUUAAGCUCCCUACUUAAUUAAAAGUAGUCACUUUUCCUUAAACCCUAACUAAAACCGGAGGAGGUGGUUGUUGCAACCUAACACACAUGUGAUGUAUAUAAUUAUAAAAUUAGGUGGGCCGGGUAUGGUCACUUUUGGAUGGGAUAUUAAUUUUCAUGGAGAGGAACGAGUUAUGGCAUGAGAGAACACAAAAAAAGAGAGGCCACUGGGGGUAGUUGGCACUGGAUUUGACGGUCCAUGUUUCACAACGUAGGUAGUUGGCACGAGAGGCGGAGGUAGCUAGCAAUGGAUUUGACUGCCGUUGUUUUAGAACCUAGGAGCUAGCUAGAGUUAGAACACGAUGGUUAAUAAAUGACUAUUGUAGUUGGUAGGUAGUUGGAAGAUAUCACAUUCAAAAUUCAAUUAGUUAUCACGUAGCAGUAAAUUCAAUUGAAUAUUUUUAACCCAAACUACUUUCUAGGGAUUUUCGGGCAUAUAAUUAAGGGAGUAAUUAAAAGGUGACUAAAACACCACAAACGGAGACUACCGGGUUAAUGAUAUAUAGAGGCAAGAAUAUUUUCCGGCCACAUUGCUUAAAAGUUCUCUAACAGCUUAAUUUGAAGAUAAAAUAUAAAAUGAAAUAUUGAUCAUUUUUCCACUUGAAUAGAAAAUUUAAAUCUUAAUUUUCUCAUUUUCAUCUAUGCGACAUUUCCCUUGCCAAACAAAUCUAUCUUAUUUGUUUGAAACAGGACUCUUGUACCUUACAUUACCAUUAUUUGAAAUAACAGUUGUUAAAAUUAUUACUUGUUAUUUUGUACGAUGCAAAGAGUAACAAUCCUCUCCUUGGUAAACUGCCUCUGGUUUUCUAUACAAAAUAUAUGAAUACUUCAGUCAGAUCUUUUAGCCAGGGGUGUGUCUGUGUCAACUGACACCCGUCCAUCAUCACCAAGUUGCUCCGCCAGUGAAAGCGUUCAGUCCAUUCGUCUCCUCCUUACUCAUUAGCCCCUCCCGCCUUGUCUGUUAGUGAGCUCACUAGGCUAAACCCUAUCAGUCAAUUUUGGGUCCAUGUCAUGGGAAGCCCAAAGUUCUUUGGGUUGUAAAUGUUGGCGCAGGCUAUCAAUGGCCCAAUUUAGGACUGAAUCCUGCCGUUGGGCUCAAACUCAAAAAGAAAAUGUUUAUUCUUAGCGGAUGAAACCGUCAAGUAAAAUUUUGCAGUCAUCGGUUAUCGACCCAUAUGAUAUUGGUAAAGUCCUCUGAAAUGAUUAGAUAUUACUUAAAGAUUUUUGUAAAUAAAAUUAGGUAAUACAACCAAUUUAUUAUUAUAACUUUGUUUUUGCAAAAUGAGACAUUUUAUGGGCAAUCUUUAGGAGGAGAGGAGGAAAAUUAUCAGGACAAAAUAUAUAUCUCCCUGUUCCACCACAACCACCACAUGUGUAUGCCAUACCACAAACCAAACACAGAUAGAUGUAAUCUUUUGUGUGUAUGCGAUGACAAGAGGAUAUUCUUGAUAUAAUUCAUCCCCGAAAAAAGAUAUUGCUGAUAUAUAUUUUGAUUUGGGUGACGUGCCCAUGAUGUAGUACAGGCGUCACGUAGAUGCAUGAUGGCGUUUCGCAGAUGGGAGUACGUUUGCCGUUUCAUUACUUCCUCUCUCGCCAAUUAACAAUUUGCUCCCCUCGUACUACAAAAAGAUUGGUGGCCGACGUUAUUAUGGCCGUGCUGCACUGUAAUUCACCACACACAAAAGGUUCACUGCUGGUGGACGCGUUACCGCAAGUCUUAUUUAUUACUAAUUAAUUGGGUUUUGUUUCUGAUGUCAUGAGAUAUCCAUGAAAGAACAUACAAGAAAUUAAGAAAAAAGGCAACCGGCCACCUCUAAUCAUCUAUUCAGCCAUUAAUACAAAAGUUACGGAAACCAAACGCUCGAAACCACCAUUAUUAAAAUCAAGAUCGUACUACGGAUUCUGAAUUUUCCACAGGUUCGCCACUUCAUCCAACG